CCCAAUAGCACUCUAGAAGCGGGCUGUCCUCCAGUUCCUACUAUCAAAGGCCAGAGGGAAUGCACUAAAGAGCUCUUCAGUUCAACUUCUCUUCAACACCUACAGCAACAGUGCUCUUCUUGGAGACAAGCCUUGAGGGAGAACAUGGGCCUGCGAUGAUGCUUUCCCAUCUGUAUAGGUGACGUUAUGUGUUGAAAAGGGUUGCAGUACGGCAUCAUAAACCUCUGCUGAUGACAAAACAUUCUGAAG
rnacentral:lncRNA from 1 species